rnacentral:rRNA from 1 species
UACGGAGGGUGCAAGCGUUAUCCGGAUUUACUGGGUUUAAAGGGUGCGUAGGCGGACUUUUAAGUCAGUGGUGAAAUCCCCGAGCUUAACUCGGAAACUGCCAUUGAUACUAUUAGUCUUGAAUUCGGUCGAGGUUGGCGGAAUGUGUCGUGUAGCGGUGAAAUGCUUAGAUAUGACACAGAACACCGAUUGCGAAGGCAGCUAGCUAGACCGCCAUUGACGCUGAGGCACGAAAGCGUGGGGAUCAAACAGG